CAGGCAGCCACUGUGGUGAUGGGCACCACCCUACUGCCACCAUGCCACAGGGGCUGGAGCCUCCCAGGCAAGGAGAGGCCACAUGGGCCACCCUGCCAGCACAGAGCAUCACAGGGAGACACACAGGGAUAGGGGACGGUGCUGGGCUCUGGAGCCUUUGGCACAGCAGGGAUGCUGCUCCAGCCUGGAGCAGGACUGCAGAAGAUCAUUUCAUGAGAUUGAGAAGAGUGGGGAAUCAGAGUGGCACAAGCUAUUCAAACUAUAGGCGUAGCACCAAUAUAUUCAGUGGCAUAAUAUCUGGAGGUCAUGCUGAAUUGUCUGUUCACUAAAAGCCAACAUGAUACUGUCCCCACUCCUUGUCAGAAGGAGCACACCGAGCUGUGUCCUAGAAUUUCUACUGCUCUCCUGAUCCAGCUCACAACCCUGAGGUCAAAAGGAGCUUGACCUUCUCAUACAGCCUCAGAAACCAUCUUCUCAAGGAAACAAAGAUGCUGAACUAAGUAAUAAACCUGACCAAGCUGGACUUAUUCACUAUAUAAUUUGUG
rnacentral:lncRNA from 1 species